rnacentral:rRNA from 1 species
AUUGUUCGCCAGAGAACUACAAGCGAAAAACUUAAAACUCCAAGGACUUGGCGGUGCCCCACACCAACCUAGAGGAGCCUGUCCUAUAAUUGAUACUCCACACUAAACCUUACCCCCCCUUGAUAACCCAGCCUAUAUACCGCCGUCGCCAGCCUACCUUGUGAAAGGAGCCCAGUGGGCACAAUAAUUAACAAUUAACACGUCAGGUCAAGGUGUAGUACAUGGGGCGGUAGAGAUGGGCUACAUUUCCUUUAACAGGAGACACGCACAGUGGGUUGAAACGCCCACUUAAAGGUGGAUUUAGCAGUAAGACAUGUAAGAAACCAUGUCUCAAACCUGCUCUGGGACGCGCACACACCGCCCGU